rnacentral:rRNA from 1 species
UACGUAGGGGGCGAGCGUUAUCCGGAAUUACUGGGCGUAAAGCGCACGCAGGCGGUUCGCCAAGUUUGGAGUGACAGUUGUCGGCUCAACCGACAAAGGACUUCAAAAACUGGUGAACUUGAGGACGAGAGAGGAACAUGGAACUCCAGGUGUAGUAGUGAAAUGCGCAGAUAUCAGGAGGAACACCGGUGGCGAAGGCGGGUCUCUGGGCAGUAACUGACGCUGAGGAGCGAAAGCGUGGGGAGCGAACAGG